rnacentral:lncRNA from 1 species
AAAUAAAACUAGAAAAUGAGUGGUUCAUAUACAACUAUCGGUAUUUGGAGCAAAACAAUAUUUAGGUGGCUCAACCCUAUUUUCAAAAAGGGUCGGUGUGAAGAACUUGAAUUGGAAGAUGUACAACCAAUUCCUACAUUGAAGACUCCUAAUCAAGCAUAUGCAUUGCUUGAAGAGACUUUGAGUAAGCAGACAACCCCGGAGGUACCGUAAAUUCCUCAACUAGAGACUAAUGAAGCAUCUCCAUUGCUUGAAAACUCUUUGAGUAAGUCUAUUUCCCUACGAAUGGCCCUGUUAAGUGCAAUUUGGAGGCCCCUAGCCAUAAAUGCAUUUUUUUUUGUAAUUCCUUUUAAUCCCUCCAAAGUAAUUAAUCAUUAAUUUAGAGCAUUAGUUGUUAUGUACUCACAUGACUACAAUGGAUAAUGAUGAUGUAGAAUCAUCGUUAACAUUAAACAUUAUAGUACCGUGCAUAACUACCAAUAAAUAAAUAAAUAAAUUUGAGGAUAUAGUUAUAGACUUAACAAUAGAUAAUAUGUUCAAUAAAAUAUUGACCACUACUACAAAAGUUAGCUAUUGUGGUAACCUGGAGCAUUUAUUAUAC